rnacentral:rRNA from 1 species
UUUACCAGAAGUGGCUAGUCUAACCGCAAGGAGGACGGUCACCACGGUAGGAUUCAUGACUGGGGUGAAGUCGUAACAAGGUAGCCGUAUCGGAAGGUGCGGCUGGAUCACCUCCUUUC